UGAGUUUUAUCUGAACAGGCAGAUAGCCUUACAACUCACCUGCAGCAGUCAUUGCUAAGGGUCAGAUGCACUCAUAGUUCAUAGUGAACCCCCCCCACACCCUGCCCAGCCCAGCACAACAUGAACACAUCUGAUAGGCAUAUGGACGGGAGGGUGAUCUGGAAGUUAGCUCUUCACAGCAUGAAGAUAAAAACAACUUCCAGAUGAAAUCACAGGUGCUGUGAAAAUUAUCAGCCUCAAGCAGCGAAGCCUAAGGAACUAGGCAAGGUUUAGAGCUAAUACCGCAAGCAGAACAGAAGUUACCUUUGAAUACUUAUGAACGGGAUCAAACUCAAACUGGCUCAAGUGUCAAAGUUGGAACAGUCACCUACAGCAAGUCAACAGCAUUCACUCAGCUUCACUUCUUUCCAUGUGAGCUGUAGCUCAUUUGCUUUUUCUCCAACAAACCAGUCUCAGAGAUCUUCCACUGUGCCCAAGGAGGGAAGCUGCUGUCUGUUGUCUGCCUCUCAAGAUUCCAUUAGUUGUCUUAGCUCUGCUCUGCUCAGCUUAGAAAGGGAAGUAAACACCUGAGUGGAGGUAGGCGGUGUGAGCAGAGGGCAGAUCUGAUGUGGAAAACCUGAGGAUAUGAGCUAUAACUUCUCUUAGCUGGAAUUUCCUCACGGCUGAAGGCUUGUUGUGCAGAUUUGUUGUUGUCCAGGCAAAGUGUAAUAAAGAGAUGUGAUUAUCUCAUUGUCUCCCAGCCUGGUUGCCAACAUGUGGGAGGUGUUUCUAGUGAAUGCUUCUGUAAGACAUGGAAAUCUCUGCAGUACUCCAGUACCCAGCUCAGAAAUGAGAGUGAAA